rnacentral:rRNA from 1 species
AUUGAACGCUGGCGGCAUGCCUAACACAUGCAAGUCGAGCGGAGCGGCGGACGGGUGAGUAAUGCCUAGGAAUCUGCCUGGUAGUGGGGGAUAACGACCGGAAACGGGCGCUAAUACCGCAUACUAUCAGAUCAGCCUAGGUCGGAUUAGCUAGUUGGUGGGGUAAAGGCCUACCAAGGCGACGAUCCGUAACUGGUCUGAGAGGAUGAUCAGUCACACUGGGACUGAGACACGGUCCAGACUCCUACGGGAGGCAGCAGUGGGGAAUUUUGGACAAUGGGCGAAACCCUGAUCCAGCCAUGCCGCGUGUGUGAAGAAGGUCUUCGGGUUGUAAAGCACUUUAAGUUGGGAAGCGGUACCAAAAGAAUAAGCACCGGCUAACUUCGUGCCAGCAGCCGCGGUAAUAC